rnacentral:rRNA from 1 species
AUAAGAGGUCCCGCCUGCCCAGUGACGACUUAGUUCAACGGCCGCGGUAUUUUGACCGUGCAAAGGUAGCGUAAUCACUUGUCUUUUAAAUGAAGACCUGUAUGAAUGGCAUAACGAGGGCUUAACUGUCUCCUUCCCCCGGUCAAUGAAAUUGAUCUCCCCGUGCAGAAGCGGGGAUAAAACCAUAAGACGAGAAGACCCUAUGGAGCUUUAGACACACAGGUGGCCCAUGUCAAAUAACCCCCGCUAAGGGCCUGAACUAAGUGGAACCUGCCUUGAUGUCUUCGGUUGGGGCGACCAUGGGGAAUACAAAACCCCCACGUGGAAGGGGAGCACACCCCUAAGUUACUUCUUCUCCCGCAAGCCAGAGCAACGGCUCUAACCAGCAGAAAUUCUGACCAGACUGAUCCGGUAAUACCGAUCAACGAACCAAGUUACCCUAGGGAUAACAGCGCAAUCCCCUUUUAGAGCCCAUAUCGACAAGGGGGUUUACGACCUCGAUGUUGGAUCAGGACAUCCUAAUGGUGCAGCCGCUAUUAAGGGUUCGUUUGUUCAACGAUUAAAGUCC